AGCGAAAGCGAGUCUUAAUAGGGCGUACAGUCAGUAGCGUUAGACCCGAAACUGAGUGAUCUAUCCAUGGGCAGGUUGAAGCUGGGGUAAUUCCUAGUGGAGGACCGAACCCUUGAAUGUUGAAAAAUUCUGGGAUGACCUGUGGAUAGGGGUGAAAGGCUAAUCAAACUCAGUGAUAGCUGGUUCUCGUCGAAAUAUAUUUAGGUAUAGCGUCUAGUGUUCCUUAAUGGGGGUAGAGCACUGAUUGGGCUAGGGGUCCCACAAGAUUACCAAACCCACUCAAACUCCGAAUACCAUUACAGCUAAACUAGGCAGUCAGACUGCGGGUGAGAAGGUCCGUAGUCGAGAGGGAAAGAGCCCAGACCAUCAGCUAAGGUCCCCAAGACAACACUAAGUGGAAAACGUUGUGGGAGUGCGUAGACAGCCAGGAGGUUGGCUUAGAAGCAGCCACCCUUUAAAGAAAGCGUAACAGCUCACUGGUCAAGUGCUCCUGCGCGGAAGAUGUAACGGGGCUAAGUGUUGCACCGAAGCUAUGGAUCCGAAAGGAUGGUAGACGAGUAUUGAAGUCGCCUGUGAAGGUACACCGCGAGGGGUGCUGGAGGUCCUUCAAGAGCUCAUGCUAGCAUAAGUAGCGAUAAGGAGAGUGAGAAACUCUCCCGCCGGAAGUCCAAGGUUUCCUGGGCCAGGGUAAUCCUCCCAGGGUUAGUCGGCACCUAAGGUGAGGCCGAAAGGCGUAAUCGAUGGAUAACAGGUUAAUAUUCCUGUACUUCUAUGCGGAGUGAUGCGGGGGUGGAGAAGGGUAGCUGCGCUGGGUGAUGGAUAUCCCAGUUCAAGCCCGUAGGCUGGUGCUUUUGGAAAAUCCGGAGCGCUAAGGCUGAGAGGUGAUGAGGUGGUCCUCGGACCGGAAGGCAGUAAUCCCAUGCUCACAAGAAAAGCCGCUAAACGUUGAAACAUAGAAACCGUACUCUAAACCAACUCAGGUGGACAGGUAGAGAAUACUAAGGCGAUUGAGUGAAACAAGGCUAAGGAACUCGGCAAAUUGAUACCGUAACUUCGGGAUAAGGUAUGCCUCCAGCGUGUAAGGACUUGCUCCUGAAGCGUAGUGAGGUUGCAGAGAAGAGGGGGUAGCGACUGUUUAUCAAAAACAUAGCACUCUGCUAAAUCGCAAGAUGAUGUAUAGGGUGUGACGCCUGCCCGGUGCUGGAAGGUUAAAAGGAGGUGUUAGCAUUAGCGAAGCAUCGAAUUGAAGCCCCAGUAAACGGCGGCCGUAACUAUAACGGUCCUAAGGUAGCGAAAUUCCUUGUCGGGUAAGUUCCGACCUGCACGAAUGGCGUAACGACUUCCCCGCUGUCUCGGCCUUGUGCUCAGCGAAUUUGAAAACCGGGUGAAGAUGCCCGGUACCCGCAGCAAGACGGAAAGACCCCGUGAACCUUUACUACAGCUUGGCAUUGGUAAUUGGAAUUGUUUGUGUAGGAUAGGUGGGAGACUUUGAACCUAGGGCGCCAGUCUUAGGGGAGUCAUCCUUGAAAUACCACCCUGAUAAUUCUGAUUGCCUAACCUCGGCCCAUUAUCUGGGCUAGGAACAAUGCCUGGUGGGUAGUUUGACUGGGGCGGUCGCCUCCCAAACAGUAACGGAGGCGCCCAAAGGUUCCCUCAGACCGAAUGGAAACCGGUCGAAGAGUGCAAAGGCAUAAGGGAGCUUAACUGCGAGACCGACAGGUCGAGCAGGUACGAAAGUAGGGCUUAGUGAUCCGGUGGUUCCGCAUGGAAGGGCCAUCGCUCAACGGAUAAAAGGUACUCCGGGGAUAACAGGCUGAUACCGCCCAAGAGUUCACAUCGACGGCGGUGUUUGGCACCUCGAUGUCGGCUCAUCACAUCCUGGGGCUGAAGCAGGUCCCAAGGGUUUGGCUGUUCGCCAAUUAAAGUGGUACGCGAGCUGGGUUCAGAACGUCGUGAGACAGUUCGGUCCCUAUCUGCUGUGGGCGCAGGAAAUUUGAGAGGAGCUGACCUUAGUACGAGAGGACCGGGUUGGACGAACCAAUGGUGUACCUGUUGUCGCGCCAGCGGCACCGCAGGGUAGCUAUGUUCGGAUGGGAUAACCGCUGAAAGCAUCUAAGUGGGAAGCCCACCUCAAGAUUAGAUUUCCCUAGGUUUACCUCUGAAGAUCCGUUCUAGACUAGGACGUUGAUAGGCUGGAUGUGGAAGUACAGUAAUGUAUGGAGCUGACCAGUACUAACCGAUCGUGAGGCUUAUUUUA
rnacentral:rRNA from 1 species